UCUUGCUCUACCAGUUGGACUGUGACACUUGCGACGAACACCCGCGGAUUACUAUCCUCGCGGUUGUUUAUAAACAACUUUAAGUUUACGAGUUUAAAUUUUUCAGUUUACUGAAAAAACUAUUACUGCUAUUCAACUACAGAUUUAUAUCUACAGUUUUUUUUAUUUAUGGAUUUAAAAAAAAAUUGUUUACAAUUUUUUGCAAAGUGUGUUUGUGAUAAAAUUCGAGUGUAUUGACACUUGAAGAUCAAGUUUAAGUGUUUACAAGUAGCUUUUGCUCUUAAAAGAAAUAUAAGAUUUUUUUUUUUAUCUUAUUUAUCAACUUUUUUUUUGCGAUAAAAGUCAAGUGAAGCUACGUAUUAUAAAAUAUUUACCAUUAUUUUUUUUUUUUAUUAAAAAAUAAAAUGAAUUUUACUUGUCAAGACUAAAAAAAAUUUUAAUAAUAAAAUGUGGAUUAGCUAAAUAAUUAACAAGGAGUUAAAAGUAAAAAAUUAUAAAAAUGACGAGGACCGAGUCACCUUUAAGUAUGGAAGCCGUAGCGACUUGGCUUCCACAAAUUAAUGCAGCUAAUCAUACAAUCAUUGAUGGAGAAAUAUCAAGAUUUCCAAAGCCACUAAGAACUUUUGCAGCAGUAGCAGCUAUUUUAAUAAUGAUAACAGGUUUAAUUGGAAACCUUUUAACUAUAAUUGCAUUAUGUAAAUAUCCAAAAGUACGCAAUGUUGCUGCCGCAUUUAUCAUCAGUCUCUGUGUAGCAGAUUUUAUAUUCUGUGUCCUAGUAUUACCCUUCGACUCGAUCCGAUUUGUCAACAGUGGCUGGACUGAUGUAAGAUUUUUAUGUGUGCUAGUGCCUUUUUUGAGAUACGGAAAUGUCGGCGUCAGUCUACUUUGUGUUGCCGCAAUAACAGUUAAUCGAUAUAUCAUGAUAACACAUCAUAGUCUUUAUAGUAGAGUCUAUAAAAAACAUUGGAUUGCUAUUAUGAUUGCUUUCUGUUAUAUAUUUUCUUAUGGAAUGCAAGUUCCCACUUUGAUCGGUGCUUGGGGAAAGUUCGAUUACGAUUCAAAUUUGGAAACAUGUUCAAUAGUUAAAGAUUCAAAAGGUCGAAGUUCUAAAACAUUUCUCUUUGUUACUGGGUUUAUAAUACCUUGUAUUGUCAUUGUUGGAUGCUAUGCCAAAAUAUUUUGGGUUGUUCACAGUUCGGAAUCAAGAAUGCGUAAGCACGCGAGUCCGACGAUUAAGUCGCCUCAUACUCCGGGACGUGACACGAGGGAGAUAAAGCAAAAGCGAAGCGAAUGGAGGAUAACAAAAAUGGUAUUAGCUAUUUUUCUGAGCUUCGUUGCUUGUUAUUUACCAAUCACUAUCGUUAAAGUAACCGAUCCAGAAGUUAGAUAUCCAGGACUCCACGUUAUGGGAUAUUUAUUGUUGUACUUUGCAUCAUGUGUCAACCCAAUAAUCUACGUGAUAAUGAACAAACAAUACAGACAAGCGUACGCAGGUGUAAUCAGCUGUUCAAAAAUUAGAGCGAGUUUAACACCCCACGGGAGCAGCAAUCCAGGACAAAAUAAUUAUGGCCAAGGACUGCCAGAUGCGAGCUAGAUAAAUAGCUCAGUUACUCUUUUCUACUAACGCGGAUCUACUGUAGCAUGUUUUUAAAUGGAGAAUGAGCUAGAUUAUUCCAAGGAUUACAGCAAGACUAUGGUGUCAACUGUAUCUAUGGCUAUGAAUCCUGUAGUAAGAAAAUCAGAGCUUCCGGAUGAUUAUCUAUGAUAAUUAAAACUCUUUAAAAAAUAAUACAAUUAUUAUAAAUAUAAUUUUUUAUACUCAGACUCUACUCAGCCAUUAAAUUAAGUAUUAUUAAAUUAUUUAUUUGUAGCAAUAUAUACUAGCUAAUUAAUUUAGUUUAAAUAUUUUUAUCAUUAAAAUAAUAAUAAUAUUUAAGUCAAUAAAUUAUUUGCCGUAAAAAUUAUUUUACCAAUUAAUUGUAUAAAAAAUUUAUAAUUUUAUUCAUUGGUUUUAAAAUACAGUCGGACUUCGUUACAAGACUAGUUCGGGACUGAUGGGGAAAAAAUUCUUAGAAUUGAGGUUUCCCCACUAUUGUGCUUCUGAGUUUUUUUCGGAAACAAAAUCUCUGAAUACAAAAUAUAGAACCCCUGUUAACAGUUUUUACGCCCAAGCCUCGCUAUAAGACUAAAGACAUUUUGCAUUUUAUCGAUGCAUUCAGUUCAACUCUGCUCUAUUAUACAGUGAAUCUAUUUUAUAUAUAUUUAUAAAUAAACAGAAUUUUGUCAUUCCCUUCUCUUGAUCAGUUAUGUGAAACCACGAAUUUUUAAGUAUUCUUUAUGAAAAUGAAUUACUUAAUUUACAAUCGAUAUGUAUGUACAUUUUAUCUCGAUUAUAGAUGUACUGUUUGUUAGUCUUACAGUGAGAUUUCGGCGCAAAAUUUUCAUUGAGUUGUUGGUGGAGGAAGCGUUCCGAGCAAGUUUUAACAAAUUGAGGGAAAGGGACUUAUAACGCGUAAUCUUACAACAGGGUCUGACUGUAUAAUUAUUUUAACGGGUAAAUAAAGCCAAAGAAAUGAUGUAAAUAUAAAUCAGCACCUUUAUUUGAUAAUUAAAAAAUAUCACAAAAAAAUUAUAUUAUUAUUAUUAUAUAUAUUUAUUAUGUAUUUACAAA